GUACAAAUCGAUUUUUACUGUUUACUGUCGCUUCUCAUGUUUUGUAUUUAAACGGUCGUUUAUUUUUAAACCCGAACCAGGCAUAUGCAUUCUGUAAUUGUGCAAAUCUUCGUUCUUUGGUCAAUUGGCUUAUGGAUAGUUGUAAAAAUUUCAACUCUUACAUUAUUUUUUUUUAAAAUAUAUUUGCAUUACACAUGCAAUGGCAGUACCUUUCCAAUUACUAUUUAUGUGUUGUGUCUAAAUUAAAGUUGUAAUACUUUAUAGUGACUGGAAAGGGUAGAAAAAUUCAUCAGAUGAGAAAAGGCUGAAGAUACUUCAAACGGCACCAAAUCAUUAGAUAUUGUAUCUUAUAAAAAGAAACUGAGAUUUGGAUAGUUCCACUUCAAGGUAAAAUUGUUUAUCUCUUGUGAAAUGAAAUAAAAAAAAUAUUGUAACACUGUAGUUAAUUAAUAAAGAUACUAUUACGAGUAUUUUUGUAUUGGGCCUUAUUAUUGGUCCUCGGCCAGCAGUAUUGGCCUUCCGCUUCGUCUCAGACCAAUACACCCAAGACAUGGACCAAUAACAAGGCCAAUACAGAAAUACUUACGCAAUGAUAUUAUAGAAUGACAGUAUGGUUCAAUAGCGGGAAUCAGCCCCUCAACUACUUUUUACAUAAAUGUUAACUUCUGGCUUCAACGCUUUGUUCGUCUUGUCUGGAUAUCUUGCUGUAGUUCCAGUUCAGCAAGCAUUUUAGAGACGUAUCAAGUCCAUCCUCUUUUGACUUGUAAUCUCUGGUGAUAGAUUUUGCCGCUUGACAUUGUAUCCUUUCAAGCUUGUUUUUUUUUGUUACCGUGUAGGGGUCCCAUACUAUGGCUCUAUAUUAAAUUAUAAGAUCCAUUCCUAAAGAUCUAGAUCAUUGUUCUAAUCUGACACAAAUUUCAGUAACUGGAAUGCUACCCAAGUUGAAUAUAUGGUGACCCACGAGAACAGCAUUAUCACUAUUGAAAUUGUAUUUAAUACCAUGAUUGUUCAAUGUCAUUAACUUAAAUGGAGACAGACAUUUGACCUGAAAGACAUGAAAGGUGGUGUGGGAGUGCAAAAUCAAAAACUAACUGACUAUGAUAUAUGGUUAAAGAAUGAAUAUCAAUUACAUGCAUAUGGGUCAACAUGGUCAAGGGCAGAGUUGUUAUAAAAUAACAAUAUGGCAGAGAAGUGGUUUCAAGUUUCAUAUAAAGCGACCUGACUGACAUGAAAUAAAAAAUCGAAGGAGUAUCCCUAUUUGUCUAAUCUUCAAGGUGAAAUAAAACUAAUAAAACAAUAUUAUACUAUUGUCUAAAUAUACAGAAAUAUAAUUUGCUUCAAGUAACAGAAAUAACUAGGUCACUAGUAACUUAUUUAAUGAGUAUGUGGGGUAUAAGAGCUUGCUAACAACAGGCUCUUCAUAAUCAUUUGGUUUGAAAAGGAUACUAGUAGUCUAUAUUCUUGAUUUAGAAAAAUGUAAUUGCAAGAAAAAAAUCACAUUACUUAGAAUACUUUAGAUCAUUCAGGUAGUCUUUAUUUAUAUGUACAAAAGAACAGCCAGUAGUCAUUGGAUAUUGUAGAUCAUUCAAAUAGUCUUGACCUUUUUAUUAGUACAAAAGAACAGCCAGUAGUCAUUGGAUAUUGUAGAUCAUUCCGG